CUCGAAUACUACCUUAUCGCGAACCUUGUUCAUGAAUCCGAUCAGAGAAAAGGAAGAAAAUAAUAAAGAAACAGAGAGAGUGGUUGCUUUAAGAUAAUAGAUUCAUCGAUGCCUUUAUUCACAAAAAUCUUACCUAUAUAUAGGCUACCAAUGGCAAGAAAAAAUAAGCAAAAAAAAAGGAAAGCAAGAACCUCUAGGCUAAUAAUUGAACGAUUAGCGAGAAGGGAUUAC
rnacentral:lncRNA from 1 species